rnacentral:rRNA from 1 species
GUCUAUGGCCAUAUCACCCUGAAUGCACCCAGUCUUGUCUAAUCUCAGAAGCUAGAUCAGGUUGGGCCUGGUUAGUACUUGGAUGGGAGACCACCUGGGAAUACCAGGUGCUGUAUGUA